rnacentral:rRNA from 1 species
AGCAGCCGCGGUAAUUCCAGCUCCAAUAGCGUAUAUUAAAGUUGUUGCAGUUAAAAAGCUCGUAGUUGAAUUUCGGGACUAAUAUGUCGGCCGUACUUUGUACGUACUAGCAUUAUUGGUUUCUCCCUUCUGACGAACCACGAUGUCAUUAAUUUGGUGUCGCGGGAAAUCAGGACUGUUACUUUGAAAAAUUAGAGUGUUUAAAGCAAGCUCGCGCUUGAAUACAUUAGCAUGGAAUAAUGAAAUAGGACGUUUGAUUCUAUUUUGUUGGUUUCUAGGAUCGACGUAAUGAUUAAUAGGGAUAGUUGGGGGCAUUAGUAUUCAAUUGUCAGAGGUGAAAUUCUUGGAUUUAUUGAAGACUAACUACUGCGAAAGCAUUUGCCAAGGAUGUUUUCAUUAAUCAAGAACGAAAGUUAGGGGAUCGAAGACGAUCAGAUACCGUCGUAGUCUUAACCAUAAACUAUGCCGACUAGGGAUCGGAUGAUGUUAAUUUUUAAUGACUCAUUCG